UACGUAGGGUGCGAGCGUUGUCCGGAAUUAUUGGCGUAAAGAGCUUGUAGGCGGUUUGUCGCGUCUGCUGUGAAAAUCCGGGGCUCAACCCCGGACUUGCAGUGGGUACGGGCAGACUAGAGUGUGGUAGGGGAGACGUGGAAUUCCUGGUGUAGCGGUGAAAUGCGCAGAUAUCAGGAGGAACACCGGUGGCGAAGGCGGGUCUCUGGGCCGUAACUGACGCUGAGGAGCGAAAGCGUGGGGAGC
rnacentral:rRNA from 1 species